rnacentral:lncRNA from 1 species
GGAGGCAGGACAGCCCCCAGCUGAGUCCUCAGACGGAGGUGAGAGAGUCAGGGAAAAGGAGCGGGGGUAGGAACAGGGUUGGAGUAGGUGACUCACUCGUGUUGUCAGCAGCAGCGACCCGAUCUCUGUGGGUAAAGGCACGGGGGAGGAAGUGCUGAGACGCUGGAGCUUGUUGUUUCCACAGCAAGUGAAAAGUCAUGAACAAAGGUUAUUGAAAAGAUCACUGAAAAGAAGAAUUUUGAUCCCUAAGGAAAGACUUAUGCUUCUGGAUUUGGGGUGAACUUCUCUUUGAGUCUUCUUUAUUCAGAUUUACAAGUUUAAUCCAGAAUAAAGUGGCUCACUGACGCCUGAUAAAAAUGACA